GAUCCUGGCUCAGGACGAACGCUGGCGGCGUGCCUAAUACAUGCAAGUCGAGCGGACCUCUUCGGAGGUCAGCGGCGGACGGGUGAGGAACACGUGGGUAAUCUGCCUUUCAGACCGGAAUAACGCCCGGAAACGGGCGCUAAUGCCGGAUACGCCCGCGAGGAGGCAUCUUCUUGCGGGGAAAGGCCCGAUUGGGCCGCUGAGAGAGGAGCCCGCGGCGCAUUAGCUGGUUGGCGGGGUAACGGCCCACCAAGGCGACG
rnacentral:rRNA from 1 species